rnacentral:rRNA from 1 species
AUGUGUGUACCGAAAAGACAGGGAGGUAUGGGAUUUCGAGAUAUUCAUUGUUUCAAUUUAGCUCUCUUAGCUAAGCAGGCGUGGAGGCUUAUUGAGAACCCGGAUUCUUUGUGUGCCCGGAUUCUGAGGACGCGGACCUGUGGGCUUCCCUACCUGAACGGCCUCCGCAGAAUGAGGUCAAUUUUUUGUCAUCUUCAGAAUGGCCUCAAUUUUUGCAAGUGA